rnacentral:rRNA from 1 species
GAUGAACGCUGACAGAAUGCUUAACACAUGCAAGUCAACUGUGGCGGACGGGUGAGUAACGCGUAAAGAACUUGCCUUACAGUUAGGGACAACAUUUGGAAACGAAUGCUAAUACCUGCUACUGUGAGAGAGCUUUGCGUCCCAUUAGCUAGUUGGAGAGGUAACGGCUCAGCAAGGCGAUGAUGGGUAGCCGGCCUGUGAGGGUGAUCGGCCACAAGGGGACUGGGACACGGCCAUUAGUGCUACGGGAGGCAGCAGUGGGGAAUAGUGGAAAAUGGACCAAAGUCUGAACCAGCAAUUCUGUGUGCACGAUGAAGUUUUCGGAAGGUAAAGUGCUUUCAGUAGGGAAGCGGUACCAGCAGAAGAAGUGACGGCUAAAUACGUGCCAGCAGCCGCGGUAAUAC